rnacentral:rRNA from 1 species
AGUGAACGCUGGCGGUAGGCCUAACACAUGCAAGUCGAACGGCAGCACAGUAAGAGCUUGCUCUUACGGGUGGCGAGUGGCGGACGGGUGAGGAAUACAUCGGAAUCUACUUUUUCGCGGGGGAUAACGUAGGGAAAUUUACCCUAAUACCGCAUACGACCAACGGGUGAAAGCAGGGGAUUUCGGGACCUUGCCGGAUGGAAGGAGCCGAUGUCGGAUUAGCUAUGUGGGGGGGUAAAGGCCCACCAAGGCGACGAUCCGUAGCUGGUCUGAGAGGAUGAUCAGCCACACUGGAACUGAGACACGGUCCAGACUCCUACGGGAAGCAGCAGUGGGGAAUAUUGGACAAUGGGCGCAAGCCUGAUCCAGCCAUACCGCGUGGGUGAAGAAGGCCUUCGGGUUGUAAAGCCCUUUUGUUGGGAAAGAAAAGCAGCAGGUUAAUACCCCGCUGUUCUGACGGUACCCAAAGAAUAAGCACCGGCUAACUUCGUG